GUAAGUAAUGAAACACAUUUUCUAUGUGGCGGCACUCUGAUUCAUAAACGAUUUGUGUUGACCGCCGCUCAUUGCAUUAAAGAUCAGGGCAAAUUAUUCGUGAGAUUGGGAGCGUAUAACCUAUCGCUCCAUGUCGUAGAGUAC